CAGCCGCCGCGGUAAUACAGAGGGUGCAAGCGUUAAUCGGAAUUACUGGGCGUAAAGCGCGCGUAGGUGGUUUGUUAAGUUGGAUGUGAAAUCCCCGAGCUUAACUUGGGAACUGCAUUUGAAACUGGCAAGCUAGAGUCUUGUAGAGGGGGGUAGAAUUCCAGGUGUAGCGGUGAAAUGCGUAGAGAUCUGGAGGAAUACCGGUGGCGAAGGCGGCCCCCUGGACAAAGACUGACGCUCAGGUGCGAAAGCGUGGGGAGCAAACAGGAUUAGAUACCCCGGUAGUCCCUGUCUCUUAUAC
rnacentral:rRNA from 1 species